rnacentral:rRNA from 1 species
GACGAACGCUGGCGGCGUGCUUAACACAUGCAAGUCGAACGGAAAGGCCCUGCUUUUGUGGGGUGCUCGAGUGGCGAACGGGUGAGUAACACGUGAGUAACCUGCCCUUGACUUUGGGAUAACUUCAGGAAACUGGGGCUAAUACCGGAUAGGAGCUCCUGCUGCAUGGUGGGGGUUGGAAAGUUUCGGCGGUUGGGGAUGGACUCGCGGCUUAUCAGCUUGUUGGUGGGGUAGUGGCUUACCAAGGCUUUGACGGAUAGCCGGCCUGAGAGGGUGGCCGGCCACAUUGGGACUAAGAUACGGCCCAGUCUCCUACGGGAGGCAGCGGGGGGGAAUAUUGCAGAAUGGGCGGAAGCCUGAUGCAGCAGCGCCGCGUGCGGGAUGACGGCCUUCGGGUUGUAAACCGCUUUCGCCUGUGACGAAGCGUGAGUGACGGUAAUGGGUAAAGAAGCACCGGCUAACUACGUG